UACGAAUGGGGCGAGCGUUGUUCGGAAUCACUGGGCGUAAAGCGUGCGUAGGCGGAUAUGAAAGUCAGAAGUGAAAGCCCAGGGCUCAACCCUGGAAUUGCUUUUGAAACUUCAUAUCUAGAGUCCCGGAGGGGCCAGCGGAAUUCCGAGUGUAGAGGUGAAAUUCGCAGAUAUUCGGAAGAACACCAGUGGCGUAGGCGGCUGGCUGGACGGGAACUGACGCUGAGGCACGAAAGCAUGGGGAGCAAACAGG
rnacentral:misc_RNA from 1 species